ACGGCGAGUGAACAGGCAAGAGCUCAGAUUUGAAAGCCUUUUUGGCAUUGUAUUCUGAAGUAUUUAUCCUGAGUAAUGAUGUCUAAGUCUUCUGGAAAGGAGCGCCAUGGAGGGUGAUAGCCCCGUGUGACAUCCCACUCAUUGUAGGAUUUAUACGUGGAGUCGAGUUGUUUGGGAAUGCAGCUCAAACGGGUGGUAUGCUCCAUCUAAAGCUAAAUAUCUGUGAGAGACCGAUAGCGAACAAGUACUGUGAAGGAAAGAUGAAAAGAACUUUGAAAAGAGAGUGAAAAAGUACGUGAAAUUGUUGAAAUGGAAGGGUAGGCCGCUAACCAUGUAGAACCGUGUUUGGGGGGAAGAUAAAAGCUGAAGAAUGUGGCUCCUCGGAGUGUUAUAGCUUCAGUCAAUAU
rnacentral:rRNA from 1 species